GUAGAAGCUUGCUCAUAUUGGAUCUCUUUGCCCUUGUGGUUCUUUCUGGAACAUUUUCCAGCCCCCAACCAUGCCUUAUGGCGUAUUUCUUUUAAAAAAUUCACCAAAAAUUCAUAAAAUAUUUUUAAAAAUCUGAAAUUUCUCCUAGUAUUUUCUUGACACCUCGCUAUUUUACAGAUAUUUGGGAUAUUUUUAGGCAGUUUUCAAUUUUAAAGGAAUUUUUCUUUGGAAUGAUUUUUGGUUGACUCCUCUGGUUUUUUGUGGUUUAGUCUUCUUUUUCUCCCCCUUUUCUAUAUUUUGCCCAUCGGGGCUGUGGAUACCUGGUUUUAAUAUUGUUAUUUUUUUGCCCAUCGGGGCCGCGGAUACCUGCUUUUAAUUUUUUUUUCCCUUAGCCCAUCGGGGCCUCGGAUACCUGCUGUGUACCCCCUCUCUCCCCAACCCUCUGGCCCAACGGGGCAAUGGAUACCUGCCUUUUUUUUUUUUUUUAAUUUAUUUUUUGGCCCAUCGGGGCCUUGGAUACCUGCUUUGAUUUUUCUUUUUUUCCUUUGCCCAUCGGGGCCUCGGAUACCUGCUUUAAUUUUUUUUUUCCUUGCCCAUCGGGGCCGCGGAUACCUGCUUAGAUUUUUUUUUUUCAUCGCCCAUCGGGGCUUUUUAUGGAUGGAAAAGUGUUGGGUUUUGUGGUUCGUUGUACUAUCUGGAAUGUCUACAAAAUGUUGCUGCUAAUCGUUUGGUGUUGUGUGAGUGGACCUACGGCUUUGGCUGGGAGAUGACUUUGCAGUUAGGCUAGGGGGUUGGUUAGGCUGGGGAGGAAAGAUGGCGGCCACUUUAGAAUUGCCGCCCAGCUUGGCUGAGAGCUAGUUGUUUGUGCUAAAUAUAAACCAGGAAGGUAAGAUGAAUAGGGGGACAGGCAGAGGAAAUGAUAUGCAUUGCAUGAGUUAAGUGUUUUGAAUGAGCUGAUUUGGGUCAUGUUAGGAGUUUUGCAUGAAUUGUGGUAUCAUGAGGUGGAAAAACAGGAUCAUCCUGUGUCACAUUACAAAAGGCUAAUCGAAAAUGAGAGGGAGAGGACCUAGGCGCAGGGUUCAAAAUGGCGAUUUUGACUUUGCAGCAUUGCUUAGCAUGGCUCUCUGCUUUGUUAGAGUGUUCAAAAUGGCGGAUCCAUUUUGCCGCAGUGUUCCAGUGGCGGGAAGCCACAUCAUGGGUGUCUUUGUUCUAGUGUGCAGCAUGGCGGUGGAAAUAUUCUGUUACAUAGUAAAAGAUGGCGGCUUAAGUACUUGCCGCAGUCUAAAACAUGGCGGGCCUUUGUCUUUGCCGUGUGCAUUUCCUGACAGGUUUUGCUGCAGGGACAAUAUGGCUGACCUUGUCAUGUGGAUAUCAUGGCAGUUUGUCACGUGGAUGUCAUGGCAGGGGUGAGCGACCGUUACAUUCUUGGCGGGCUUUGCACCAGGAGGGCCUGCCGCAUUGUUAAAGAUGGCGGGCUUUGCCGCGAAAAAGUGAAAGGAGGGAUUGGCAAUGUUGGAUUGCCGCAUGACCCACCCAAUCAGAAAGGAUGGUGGAAUUGGUCGCAGCCAGUUAGUGGAGGAUGGAAUUAGACCGAGUUAGAAUAGCACCUCGCUACCGUCUCUAUUCAGCCAGUCAGGACGGGCCACGUUUGUACUACUCCCAGUGGGUGGUACCAAGGUCUUUCCAAGGACAUUUGGCCUUUCCACCUCCCUCCCCUUUCACUUGCUCCCUCCCCUCCGGCAUUGCCACUUGCAGUGCAGGAUAUUAGGCUGUGCGGGCUGAACUUCACGCCAUUCCUCUGCAUUGGUGCCGUGGCCUAAGGCUAGUGUACUACCCGCCCCCGCCAACCCCGCCUCUGCUCUUCUGCACUUUGGCCAGGGGCAGUGCUCCAUGCCUGCCAAGUGUGAAAAUGGCGGUGAGUCGUGGCAAGGACCAGAAUGGAUCGCAGAUGAUCGUUGGCCGACAGGUGGCAGAAGAGGAAUCCCUGCCUUCCUCAAGAGGAACACCUACCCCAUGGCUAAUGCUGGGGUCGGAUUUUGAUUUCUAUUUGUUUCUUGGAUGUUAGUCAUACAUAGUUUGAUUAUGUGGUUUGCUAGUGUUCGAUUUAAGCCUUAAGGGACUACUAUGGAAAUGUAUUUAGGGGCUUUAUUUGUAGACUUCAUUUCAGUUACAUUUAAUUGGUUUUCAUGUUUGGGUUCCUUUAAAAUUCCUUAAAGUUUUCAGUUUCUUUUUCUACAAAUUGCUUAAACUUUUUUUGUCUUUAGAUGUUCAAAGUAAAAUAAUAAGCCAUUUUAAAGUUUUUACUAUUUUUUACUUUGGGGCUGACUUAAUAAACUACUUCCCUUUGGAUUUUUGAAGAGUCUUAUAGCACAGAAGUAGUUAAUUAAAAAUUUAACUUUAUGACUGAAUGUAAAAAGGAAUAUUUGAAGGUCCACUCCGGUCCAGGCCUUGCUUUGUUCUCACCCUUAAUGCUGCACUAAUUGACUAAUGACCCACCUAUCUGCAGGAAACUUGAAUUGCUGUGGACUUGCUUCUUCUAUUCGAACUUAUUAUAUUGGAGUAUUAUUGCUCAUAAUUUCAGUUUUCUGUGGUUCCUUGACUCCACAGCCUCUAGCUCCACCCCAGCCCUUUUCCCAGCAACCCCCUUAAUGGCCCCAGCCCCGGCCCUAGCCCCAGCUCUGGCCCCAGUCCCGGCCCCAGCCCCGGCCCCGGCCCCAGCCCCGGCCCCGGCCCCAGCCCCAGCCCCAGCCCCAGCCCCAGCCCCAGCCCCAGGCCCUGCCCCAGCCCCUGCCCCGGCCCCUGCCCCAGCCCCUGCCGCAACCCCAGCCCCAGCCCCAGCCCCAGCCCAGCCUCAGUCCUGUUUCUCCCUAAAGCCCGUGAAAUUUGCAUUGAUUCAGUGCUAAAAAUAAGUUGUCCACGUUGCUCACCCAGUAGACUGGGAUACCCUGUCUGCCUCUAGCAUUGCAGAUAUUGAAUGCUGACUACCUGAGUCACCAUUUUCAAUUAAUGUACAGAAUCCCUUUUGUCCAUUGUCCCAUGUUAGAACAAAGAAUCCACACACCCUUUGCAUUAAUGUUAGGAAAUGUUAAUUAAUUGAGAGCUUUCAUAAGUCUAGUUACUCAAUCUUCUCAAUCCCCUGUCCUUAAGGAAGGAGAAACCAUUCCUCUGUCAUUGAUGCAGUAGUCACAAUCCCAGUUUUCUGGACAGUGCAUAUAUACUGUGCUGACCACCUAAACUCUUUGCACUGAGUGAAAUUCUAAUUGUUCAUAAUCCUGCCCAUUGGAUUAGAUCCCAGUCAAAAACCCUUUUGCAUUCAGCAGGGGGCACAGAAAACCCAGAUUUUUUGUUCCACAGUUAAUGUGCUCAGUCCCAAUUGUCAUAGCCUUGUCCAUUAAACAAAGGCAUCCUACCAAUUUUGCUCUGCUUUUCGGGAGUCCUGCUGUUCUUGGACAAUUAAAGUACCAAACUGUACAUCGUCUUCCCCAUUAAUCAAUGACCCUCCAUCCCAUUCGCAUUGCUAUUAGGCACUGCUGACUACCUGAGACCAUCUUCCUUGAAUUAUUAAUGAGAAGAAUCCCAAUUGUUCAUUACACAAGUCCUCUGCAACUUUUUUGCACUACAGCAGAAGUGCUCAUCCUCAAAGUCCUUUACUUUGGUAUAUUAAUGGGUACAAUUACUGUUAGUCAUGGUCCUGCUUAACAGGUAAGACCCGCCCAUGCUCUUCAUUGCUCCUAGGCAGUUCAGACUACCUAUCACUUUGCAUUAAUAUGUAAAAUCCUCAUUUCCCAUGGUCCCAUCCAUUAGUCUAGGAUAUCCCUUACCUCUGUGCCAUUUCUUCUGAGGAGUUCUGAUUACCCAAAGUCCCUUCUCUUAUUAAACAAUUGAUGUGCAUAAUUACAUAUAUCUAUGGUCCCAUGCAAUAAAAAAUGAAAUCCCACACUCGGUGGAAUACUGCUAGGUCAUGCAGAUUAUUCAAGAACUCAGCUUUUGGACAGUUAAUUUGCACAGUUGCAGUUGUCCAGAGUCCUGUCCAUUUUAAUGGGCCACUGUAUCCCAUUUGCAUGCUAUAUGGGUCAGACUCUCAAGGAACCUUCUCUUGAAUUGAUAAUGUUCAUAGUUGCAUUUGUCAAUGUCCUGUGAAUUAGUCACACCCACCCACUUUGUAUUCUGGCAGAGGACCCUUACUACUUAAGAACUCUGCACUAGGACAUUUUAUGUGCACAAACCUAAUUGAUUACGCCUGAGCCUUUUGUAUCAGGAACCCUGCACCAUCUUUACUUCUGAAAGGUGCUAAUUAUCUAAGGCCAUUUCCUGACACUGUUCAUGUGCAAAAUUGCAGUCCCAAUGACUCCUUUCUUUAAACUAGAAUCCCAUCCCCAACUAACUGCCUUUGCAUUACAGCAGAGGAUACUUCCGGCAGUUAAUGGGCUUGAUUGCAGCUACAGACCCCUCUGUUAGUCUAGCACCCAUUCCCCUCCUAGAUGAUUUGCAUUACUACAGGCAGUACAAGGGACUGAUAAUGGACUUAGACAGCUACAGUCCCUUAUGUUAACCUAGGAACCCAUCCCCACCUAACUCCCUUUGAGUGAGGAGGGUACUGCGGAGGGUACUUGGAACUGUUAAUGAGCUUUAUUGCAGCUACAGUUCCUUUUGUCACUCUAGAAUCCAUUCCCUUCCUACUCGAAUUGCAUUACCACAAAGGGCACAAGGGACUGUUAAUGUGCUUAAGUGGAGCUACAGUCCCUUAUGUUAACCUAGGAACCCAUCCCCCCCAACUCCUUUUGCAUUAAUGCAGAGCCUACAUGGACUUGUUAAUGGGCUUAAUUGUACUGCUGUCCCUUCUGUUAGUCUAGAAUCCCAUCCCUCCUACUCAAUUUGUGUUACCCCAGAAUGUAUGAGAGGCUGUUACUGUGCUUAAAUGCAUCUAUAGUCUCUUACGUUUACCUAUGAUCCCAUUCCUGUCUAAAUCUCUUUGCAUGACUGCAGAGGGUACUUGGGACUGUUAAUAGGCUCAAUUAGAGCUACAGUCCCUUCUGUUACAGGGUCCCAUGCCCUCCUACUCUAUUUGUAUUACCAAAAGGGGGACAACGGACUGUUAAUGGGCUUUAUUGCAGAUACAGUCCCUUCUGUAAAUCUAGAAUCAGUUUCCUUCUUGUUGGAUUUGCAUUACCACAGAGGGUACAAGGGACUGUUAAUGUCCUUAAAUGCAGCUGUAGUCCCUUAUGUUAACCUAGGAUCCCAUCCCCAACUAUCUCCCUUUUCAUUACUGCAGAGCCUACAGAGAACUUGCUAAUGGGCUUAAUUGUACUACUGUCCCUUAUCUUAGCCUACGAUCCCAUCCCCUCCUAAUUCCCUUUAGAUUACCAAAGAGGACACAAGGGACUGUUAAUGUGCUUUUAAAUGCAUGUACAAUCCCCCUCCCCCCGUUUUUUAACCUAGGAUUCCAUUCCCACCUCACUCUCUUUUCAUGACUGCAGAGGGUACUUGGGACUGUUAAUGGGUUUUAUUGCAGCUACAGUCCCUUCUGUUAGGCUAGAUUCCCAUUCACUCCUACACGAUUUACAUUAACACAGAAGGCACAAAGGACUGCUAAUGUGCUUAAAUAGAGCUACAGUCCUUUAUGUUAAUCUAGGAUCCCAUUGCCACCUAACUCCCUUUUCAUUACUGCAGAGCCUACAUGGACUUGUUAAUGGGCUUAAUGGCACUGCUGUCCCUUCUGUUAAUCUAGGAGUCCAUCCCACCUACUCAAUUUGCAUUAUCCCAGAAUGUACAAGAGACUGUUACUGUGCUUAAAUGCAUCUACAGUCUCUUACGUUUACCUAUGACCCCAUUCCCACCUAACUCCCUUGCACUACCACAGAGGGUACAAUGGACUGUUACUGUGCUUAAAAGCAGCUACAGUCCCUUAUGUUUAUCUAGGACCCUAUUCCCGCCUGACUCCCUUUUAAUGACUGCAGAGGGUACUUGGGACUGUUAAUGGGCUUUACUGCAGCUACAGUCCCUUCUGUAAAUCUAGAAUCAGUUUCCUUCUUACUGGAUUUGCAUUACCACAUAGGGUAACUGGGACUGUUAAUGUGCUUAAAUGGAGCUAUAGUCCCUUAUGUUAACCUAGGAUCCCAUUCCCACCUAACUUCCUUUUCAUUAAUGCAGAGCCUAUAUGGGACUUGUUAACGGGCUUAAUUGCACUGCUGUCCCUCCUAUUAGUCUAGGAGCCCAUCCCUCUUACUUGAUUUGCAUUACCCCAGAGUGUAGAGACUGUUAACAUCCUUAAAUGCAUCUACAGUCUCUCAUGUUUACCUAUGAUCCCAUUCCCAUUUAAACCUCUUUGAAUGACUGCAGAGGGUACUUGGGACUGUUAAUGGGUUUUAUUGCAGCUACAGUCCCUUCUGUUAGUCUAGAUUCCCAUUCACUCCUACACGAUUUACAUUAACGCAGAAGGCACAAAGGACUGCUAAUGUGCUUAGAGCUACAGUCCUUUAUGUUAAUCUAGGAUCCCAUUGCCACCUAACUCCCUUUUCAUUACUGCAGAGCCUACAUGGACUUGUUAAUGGGCUUAAUGGCACUGCUGUCCCUUCUGUUAAUCUAGGAGUCCAUCCCACCUACUCAAUUUGCAUUAUCCCAGAGUGUACAAGAGACUGUUACUGUGCUUAAAUGCAUCUACAGUCUCUCAUGUUUACCUAUGACCCCAUUCCCACCUAACUCCCUUGCACUACCACAGAGGGUACAAGGGACUGUUACUAUGCUUAAAAGCAGCUACAGUCCCUUAUGUUUAUCUAGGACCCUAUUCCCGCCUGACUCCCUUUUAAUGACUGCAGAGGGUCCUUGGGACUGUUAAUAGGCUUUACUGCAGCUACAGUCCCUCUGUUAAUCUAGAAUCAGUUUCCUUCUUACUGGAUUUGCAUUACCACAAAGGGCACAAGGGACUGUUAAUGUGCUUAAAUGGAGCUAUAGUCCCUUAUGUUAACCUAGGAUCCCAUUCCCACCUAACUUCCUUUUCAUUAAUGCAGAGCCUAUAUGGGACUUGUUAAUGGGCUUAAUUGCACUGCUGUCCCUCCUAUUAGUCUAGGAGCCCAUCCCUCUUAACUUGAUUUGCAUUACCCCAGAGUGUAGAGACUGUUAACAUCCUUAAAUGCAUCUACAGUCUCUCAUGUUUACCUAUGAUCCCAUUCCCAUUUAAACCUGUUUGAAUGACUGCAGAGGGUACUUGGGGGAGUUAAUGGGCUCAAUUAGAGCCAUAAUCCCUUCUGUUAGUCUAGAUUCCCAUGCCCUCCUACUCCAUUUGCAUUACCAAAGGGGAUACAAGGGAAUGUUAAUGUGCUUAAAUGCAAUUACCUAGGAUCCCCUCUCCACCUAACUCCCUUUUCGUGAUUGCAGAGAGUACUUGGGACUGUUAACGGGCUUUGUUGCAGGCACAGUCCCUUCUGGUAUCUAGAAUCCGUUCCAUCCUACUCCAUUUGCAUUAACACAGAGAGUACAGGGACUGCUAAUGUGCUUAAAUAGAGCUACAGUCCUUUAUGUUACUCUAGGAUCCCAUUGCCACCUAACUCCCUUUUCAUUACUGCAGAGCCUACAUGGACUUGUUAAUGGGCUUUAUUACACUGCUGUCCCUUCUGUUCGUCUAGAAUCCCAUCCCUGUACUCAGUUUGCAUUACCCCAGAGUACACGAGAGACUGUUACUGUGGUUAAAUGCAACUACAGUCUCUUAUGUUUACCUAUGACCCCAUUCCCACCUAACUCCCUUGCACUACCACAGAGGGUACAAGGGACUGUUACUGUGCUUAAAAGCAGCUACAGUCCCUUAUGUUUAUCUAGGACCCUAUUCCCACUUAACUCCCUUUUAAUGACUGCAGAGGGUACUUGGGACUGUUAAUGGGCUUAAAUGCAGCUAUAGUCCCCUGUCUUAACCUAGGAUCCCAUCCCUAAUUAUCUCCCUUCCAUUACUGCAGAGCCUACAUAGGACUUGUUAAUGGCCUUAGUUGCACUACUGUCCCUUCCGUUAGUCUAGGAUCCCAUCUCUACCUAAUUCCUUUUAGGUUACCAAAGAGGAUACAAGGGACUGUUAAUAUGCUUAAAUGUAGAAACAAUCGCUUUUUUAAGGUAGGAUCCUAUUUUCACCUAACUCCCUUUGCAUUACCACAGAGGGUACAAGGGACUGUUACUGUGCUUAAAAGCAGCUACAGUCACUUAUAUUAACCUAGGAUCCCAUCCCCAACUAUCUCCCUCUUCAUUACUGCAGAGCCUACAUAGAACUUGCUAAUGGGCUUAAUUGUACUGCUGUCCCUUAUCUUAGCCUAGGAUCCCAUUAGACCUAAUUACCUCCUAAUUCCCUUUAGAUUACCAGAGAGGACAGAAGGGACUGUUAAUGUGCUUUUAAAUGCAAGUGCAAUCUCCCCGCCCCCCGCCCUUUUAACCUAGGAUUCCAUUCCCACCUCACUCUCUUUUCAUGACUGCAGAGGGUACUUGGGAUUGUUAUUGGGCUUUAUUGCAGCUACAGUCCCUUCUGUUACCCUAGAUUCCCAUCCACUCCUACAUGAUUUGCGUUACCACAGGCUCUACAAGGGACUGUUAAUGGGCUUAAAAACAGCUACAGCUCCUUAUGUUAACCUAGGAUCCCAUCCCCACCUAACCUCUCUUUUCACAACUGCAGAGGGUACUUGGGACUGUUAAUGGACUCAAUUAGAGCUAUAGCCCCUUCUGUUAGUCCAGAUUCCCAUGCCCUCCUACUCAAUCUGCAUUACCAAAGGGAGUACAAUGGAUUGUUUAUGUGCUUAAAUGGAGCUACAGUCCCUUUUGUAACCUAAGAUUCCAUUUCCACCUAACUCCCUUUCCUGACUGCAGAGGGUACUUGGGACUGUUAUUACCGAGCUUACUGUAGCUGCGUUCCCUUCUGUUAGUGUACAUUCCCAUCCUCUCUUACACGGUUUGCAUUACCACAAACUGUAUAACUAUUAAUGUGCUUAAAUGCAACUACAGUCCCUUAUGUUAACCUAGGAUCCCAUUCCCACCUAACUCCCUUUUCAUUAAUGCAGAGCCUACAUGGGACUUGUUAAUGGGCUUAAUUGCACUGCCCUCCCUUCUAUUAGUCUAGAUUCCCAGGCUGUCCUCGAUUUGCAUUACCAAAGGGGGUAUAAUGGACUGUUAAUGUGCUUAAAUGCAGCUACAGUCCCUUUUUUUUUUUUUAACCUAGGAACCCAUUCCUACCUAACUCCCUUUUUAUGACUGCAGAGGGUACUUGGGACUGUUAACGGGCUUAAUCACAGCUACAGUCCCUUCUCUUAGUCUAGAUUCCCAUCCCCUCCUACAGAUUUACAUUACCACAGAGGAUACAAGGGACUGUUAAUGUGCUUAAAUGCAGGUAUAGUCCCCUUUAUUGUUUCACCUAGGAUCCCAUUCCCAACUAACCCCCUUUGCAUUACCACUGACUGUACAAGGGACUGUUAACAUGCUUAAAUGCAAUUAUAGUCCCUUAUGGUAAUCUUGGAUACCACCCCCAACUAACUCACUUUGUAUGACUGCAGAGAAUACUUGGGACUUUAAAUGCGAUUGAUUGCAGCUACAGUCCUUUCUGUUAGUCUAGGAUCUGUUCCCUUCCUUCUUGAUUUGCAUUACCAGAGAGGGUAGAAGGGAUGGUUAAUAUACUUAAAUGGAUCUACAGUCCCUUUUGAUAACCAGGAUCCCAUUUCCACCUAACUCCUUUUGCACUACCACAGAGGCUACAAAGUACUGUUGAGUGCUUAAAUGCAGCUACAGUCCCUUAUGUUAACCUAGGAUCUUGUUCCCACCUAACUCCCUUUGCAUGACUGCAGAGGGUAUUUGGGACUAUUAAUGGGCUUUACUGAAGCCACAGUCCCUUAGUCUAGGAUCCCAUCCCCUCCUACAGGAUUUACAUUACCACGGAGGGUACAAGGGACUGUUAUGGUGCUUAAAUGCAGGUAGAGUUCAAGGAUCCCAUUUCCACCUGCCUCCAUUUGCAUUACCAAAGAGGCUACCAGGGACUGCUAAUGUGUUUAAAUGCAGGUACAGUGCCUUGAGUUAACCCCGAAAUCCCACCUAACUCCCUUUUCAUGACUGCAGAUGGUAAUUGGGACUGUUAACAAGCUUUAAUGCAGCUACGGUUUCCCUCUUAGUCUAGAAUCCCAUUCCCUCCUACUUGAUUUACAUUACCACAGAGUGUACAAGGGAUUUUUAAUGUGCUUAAAUGGCACUACAGUCCCUUAUGUUACCUAUGAUCCCAUUCCCACCUAAUUCCCUUUGCAUGACUGCAGAGCGUACUUGGGACUGUUAAUGCAUUUACCUGCCUAUACAGUCUCAUCUGUCCGUCUAGAUUCCCAUGCCCUCCUACUAAAUUUGCAUUAUAAAAGAGGGUACAAAGGACUGUUAAUGUGCUUAAAUGCAGUUACAGUCCCUUUGUAAGGUGGGAUCCCAUUCCCACGUAACUCCCUUUGCAUCAUCCCAGAGGCUACAAGGGACUUUCAAUGUGCUUAAAUGCAGGUACAGUUUCUUAUGUUAACCUUGAACUAUAUUCCCACCUAACUCCCUUUACAUCACUGCAAAGGGUACUGGGGACUCUUAAUGGGCUUCAUUGAAGCUGCUGUCCCUUCUGUUGGUCUAGAUUCCCUUUCCCUCCUUGAUUUGCAUUACCACAGUGUACAAUGGACUGUUACUGUGCUUGAAUGCAGGUACAGUCCUUUUUUUUUUAAACCUAGGAUCCCAUUCCCACCUAACUCCCUUUGCAUUUCUGCAGAGGGCACUUGGGACUAUUUUAAUUGGACUCCUGUCCCUUCUGUUAGUCUGGGAUCCCAUCCCCUCCUACUUGAUUUGCGUUUCCACAGAGGCUACAAGGGACUGUUAAUGUGCUUAUUAAAUGCAGGUACAAUCCCUUAUGUUAACCUCGGAUCCCAUUCCCACCUAUCUCCUUUUGCAUGACUGCAGAGGUAUUUGAGACCUUUAAAGUGGUUAGUGGCAGCUGUAGUCCCAUCUGUUAAGUGUACUUUAUCAAGCACUCCAAUUCCCUCACGUAACUUGGGAACAUAUUUCGGACUGUCACUGUGCUCGUUUUUGGCUGUGGUCCCUUUGUAAUUCUAGGAUCUCAUCCCUUUCUACUCAUUUGUAUUACUUGUUGGUAUUGGGACAGAAAGGUGCUUAAAUGCAGCUGUAAUCUGUUUUGUUAAUCUAGGAUUCCAUGCCCUCUAACUCCCUUAACAUUACCUAGGAGUGUAUUUGGGACUGUUGAAGUGCUUAAUUGCAUCUGUGGUCCCUUCUGUUAGUCUCACUUCCCAUGCCCUCCUACUCCCUUUGCAUUACAGCAGAGGGCACUUGGGACUAUUAAAGUGUUUAAUUGCAGCUGUGGUCCCUUCUCAGUCUGGGGUCCAUCCCCUCCAGCUUUGUUUGCAUUACCACAGAAGGUACUUGGAUCUGUGAAUGUGUUUAAAUGCAGAUAUGGUCCCUUUUGUUAGUUUUGGAUCCCAUGACCCCCUUUACAUUACCUGGGAGGGCAUUUGGGACUGUCAUGGUAAUUGCACCUGUGUUCCCUUCUGUUGGUCUAGAAUCCCGUUACCUCCUACUCCCUUUGCAUUACAUGGGAGCGUUUUUGGGACUCUUAAGAUGCUUAACUGCAACUAUGGUCCUUUCUGUCAGUCUAGUUUCCAGUCCCUUUCUACUCCAGUACCCUUACCACAGAGGGUACUUGGGACUGUUGUGGUGCAUCCCAUCCUCUCACACCCUGUCAGCAUUACAGCAUAGGGUCCUGAACACCAAGGCCCCUUCUUUUCACUGUUAAUGCACAAUUGCAUUUGUCCUUCUUCCUCUGCAGUAUAUAAAGACCUCACUAACUUCCCUUGUAUUCAGUGGUGGAUGCCCUUUACUCAAGACCUUUGUACUAGAAUAAAGUGAACCAUGGUAAUUGACCACAAAUAUAUCUUUCACUUAAGUCCCUUGUACUCUCUUUGUUUUAUAAGAAGAUGUAUUAAUUACCUCCGUUACUUUUUCUGGGAGUAUUUACAUGCAAAAUUCCAGUGUUCAAGGCCCCUGUCUUUAAUAUCCCUCCCUUUCUGUAUUAUAUCAGGGGAUGUUAGUGACUCAGAGUCCUUCUCUUGGGACUCAUUGUGCAUGUGCCCUCGUGACAAGCUAAUAUCUUGAGUUCUUAGUAUUAUAGGAGGGACUACUGACUAGUUUCUCUUUUGGACAGUUAAUGUGCAAAAUUACACUAGGAUCCCAUCACAUUUCACCUCCUUUGCAUCAGGGGUCCUGAUCAACUGUGGCUGCUUUUCCUCUAGAGUUUAAACGUGCAUAAUUUCAGUAACCCAUGCUCCCUUAUGUUAGAUUAGGAUCCCAUUUCCUUGCCCCAUUUACGUUACUGCGGGGGCUUCUGACUAGCCAAGAUAAGUUUUCUUGGACUGUUAAUGUGUAUACUUACAUUUGCUCCUGUACCUGUACACCAGGUAAGGACCCUCCCCAUUCUAUUUAUAUUCCAACAGGAGGUGCCUACUACUCAAGAUCUUACACACUACUGCAGUUAAUGUGCACAAUCUUAGUUGUCUUGUAUACAUUCUCAGUUGUCCACAACUGUGCUUUUUAGAUCAGGACUCCACUUAUUGAAGCACAGGUUACUUACUACCUUAAAGCCCUUGUUUUGGGACUGUGACUAUGUGUAGUUAAAAUUGUCCAUGGUCCUUUGAGUUAACUUGUGUCCCUGACUCUUUUCACACUCCCUUUGCUUUACUGCAUGGGGUACUGUCCACUUAAGGCCCCUUUCUCAAAUACGUGUAAUGACAAUUACAUUAGGAUCCUUCCCCUUCAAACCCCUUAGAAGUACCACAAAGAUUUUGACCCCUAAGUCCCAUUUCUUGUCCUGUUAUUGUAUUUGUCUGGGUUCCUGUGCACUAGACAAGGACACCUCUCCAUUCCCUGUCCUUCCAGCAGGAAGUGCCCCCUCCACAGGACUGUUAAAUUUGGACAGUCAAGGUGCACAAUUGUAACUGACCACAACCAGUCACCUUGGACAUUAAUGUGCAUAACUGCACAUGGCUCAUCCCAUAUGGAUAAGAUCCUAUCCUCUCAGACCCCUUUUGUAGCACAGCAGGGGUAAUGAUCACUAAGGCCUCUUUUUAUGGCUUGUUAUUGUGCAUAAUUGCAUUUGUGCAUGUUCCUGUACAGUUGAUGGGGGCACCUAUCUCCCCACUCCCUUUGUCUUUUAGCAGGGAGUGCCUGCUACUUUAAGAUCCUUAUAUUUGUACAAGGUAUACGAUUUUAAUUGACCACACCAUGUCCCUUCGACAUUAAUGUACAUAACUGCAACUUAGUUCAUCUUAUCCUGUUGCCCUCCAUUUGCAGUAUAUCAGGGUUGCUGACCCAUAUAUCCCCAUUCCUUGGCCUGUUAAUGUGCAUAAUUGCAUUUGGUUCUUGGGCAGUAGACAAGGAUCCCCUCCUCCCCCACAUUUCCUAUGCCUUCCAGUAGGUUGUGCCCACCACCAAGACCUUUCUAUUUGGACAGUUAAUGUGCAGAAUUGCAGUUUUUCACAACCCUGUUACUUCUAGGACUAUUUUAUCUCCUUUGUAAUACUGCAGGGGAUACUGUUUUCCCCCAAGGUCCCUUCUAGUGGACCGUUAAUAUACAUAAUUGAAAUUGUUGUCUUUAUCACUAGACUAAUGUCAUAUCCCCUCAGCUAACUAUCAUGACCUCAGCUCUUGGACAAUUAAUAUGCACCAAUAACAUAUCAAAAGUACGAUCAUUAGAUAGGACCCCUGUACCCUCACUGUAUACAUCAGAGGUACUGACUAAGGCCCCUUUUUUGGACUGAUAAUGUGAAUAUUUGCAAUUAUCUAUUCUCUCUUCUUUUUAGAGUCGGAUAGCAUCCCUUUGCACCCCCUUUGCAUUACUGCAGGGGCUGCUAAUGACACAAAACUUCUACUGGGACUGCUGAUGAGCACAAUGGCAUUUAGCAAUGGGUUUUUCCUCCCUGGCUUUGUUAGGCAAGCAUUCCCAGCUCCAGCUUCCCAUGGCAUAAUAAAGUAUAAACACUGCAGUAUGCUGUGAACUUGUCCAUCAAACAACGACCCAUACUCCCACUCCUUUUGCAUUGGCUCCAGUGUAUCAAAUUCCAAGUAGUCAUAGUCUUGCCAUUAUCUUCCCUCUCCAGACCACUUGCCUGCCCUUGGACCCUUCUUAUGGAAUAUUAAUGCUCACAAUUUCAGGUGUCCAUGUAUCCAGAUAAGAUUGUGCUCUCUUGCCCCUCCUGCUCCUGCAUAGUUGAUGGGAAAUGUUGACUGAGCAAAAUGCUUUUCUCUUGGACUUAAAACGUUAACAAUCUCAGAUGUCAUUGUUUUGCCCAUUUUGAAUUUCUGUAAUACCUUGGUUGCACUUUCUUUGGUCCGGCCCGUUAGACAUGGACCCUUCCACUUCCUUCUUUGCAUUACUUCUGAGUAGUGCUGACCUCCCACAACCCCUUCGGUGUUAUUAACACAGUAUUAAUUGUCCCAUUUUUUAGCCCAUCAGCCCAAGAUCUCCCUACCACUUUGAUGUUGUGUUUGUGCAGUAUUGACUACCAAAAGCAAGCCUGAACUAGGUGGCUGGGCCUUCACUCCUUUUCCUGCAUUUGUCAAUGAUCCCAGUUCCAAUUCUUUUCACAUUCUGGGGACAGGAACCAUUCCUACCCCCCUCUUACUGCUUUACUAGGCAAAAUGCCCAAGGCAAGUCAGACCCAAGGGAACUGGAUUGCUAUCCUUUAUUUUGGGUUUUCAUUAUACAUAAGUAUCAAUUGAAAAUUGUCUCCCCAGGAAGGAAGUUUAGCACUAUCUGUGCAUUCUUCCUUUCAAAGCAGAUUGCCUGGCUAAGACUCUCUCCUCUCUUCUUGUAUAUUGCCAUUGUAUAGUGUCAACUGCCAAGAUACAACCAAAAAGUUGCUGUUAAGUUUUUAUGUUGUAAGGAAGAUUGCAAGUUAGAAUUGAUAACCUGGUCAUUGAAAUUUUGAAGUCUAAAAACCUAUUUAUACCAUGUACCUGAUGACCAGUGUCUCUCAUUUUACUAAGGGUGGUGGGUCUGUGGAUAGACCACUGUGACUUUGAUAUUUUAGUAUGAUCAAAGGAGUUCUAGAGUGGAACUCUUAAGACCAGUAUCUUUGGGCUCUACCACCAUUUUCAAACCAUUCCUUGUUUGGGCUUUAACAAUUUUCACUUUUAGAAAAACUACCUAAACCUCCUAAUCCUUAAAUUUUUUCAUCUGGAGCUCCAACCAGCCCCUACUUAUUUCAAGAAGAUUACUGUAAAAGGAUAAAAAUGAGAGAACAUAUGCUGAGGUGCUUUUGAAAACCAUAGAUCAAUUUAUUUGAUUAAUCUAUUACAUAAAAUGCCCCCUGUUUAAUUCUGCUAAUUUAAAGUAGCCUAAAGCACCACACUGAAGUGAGGACUUAGAAAUGAUGGAACCAGUUUCCCCAUUUUAUAUGAAAAGAAAAAUAAGCCAAGGUCUAAUCAUUCUUUCGGAUAUAAAUUUCAACAGUGAGGUAGCUGCCUGGUAAAAAUGAAUAGUGUUCCAGCUCUAGUGUACAGGGUGUUUGGUGGCAGAGAAGUAUUUAAUAUGGAACUGCUGGAGCAAAUAACUAGUUAUCACUACAGCAGUUCUUUGUAAUCACUGAGAAAGGAUACUCUUCUCUGAGAAGGAUGUCAAAAGAUUCGCCCAGCUCAGGGUGCUGUUUGCACUACUAGCUCCUUGGACAGCUGUAAGAAGUCUCUGGCUCUUUAGAAUACUGGAUGAAUUCUGAGCUGGUACCCCCACUCAAGAGGAAGGAUGGAUCGAUUUUAGGUGGAUUGAAGCCUGCCCUAGACAGCAUCCAAAGUCCUUCUGUGAUACUGCCAGUGCUUGCCAUUACAGGACCUUAAGGAGACAACAGGCUAGAGAGGAGAGACAGGAGACACCUAUAUCUAAUGCUUCAGGACAUUCUGAGCAUGUGAGACCUGAGGAACUGCAAGCAGCUUUAAGAAGCUCUACAUUCAACAAGUCUUUCCUUUUAAGAAUCUGGAUAAGCUCCAACCAAUCUAAGAGGAUGGCUUGCCGGCUCCCUGGAGAAAAAGAUCUUCCUCAGAAGAAUAGGCUUGUUGCUUUACAGUGUUAAUGACCCAUUCCCUUUGACGAUCCCUAGGUGGAGAUGGGGCAUGAGGAUCCUCCAAGGGAAAAACUCACUAUCACUGAGCAACAACCCUAGGCCAGGAGGUUCUACCAAGAUUCUUUCCUGGGCCCAGUUAGGAGGAUGAAAUCUCAAGACAACCACCACACAUCCAGAGGAGAACAUGGACAACAACUGCCACAUCUGUGACAUUGAUCAUGGGCAGAUCAUCAUUCUGGACCCUCUGGUCUCCAAAGUCUCCCUUGAGGCCCUGUUGGAGAACUUUGCCAAUCAUUUACGUACUUCAGGAUGCCUUGGGAUAGCUGUUGGACAAAAGAAAAAACAAGCUGUUUGAGAAGAUAAAACAGAGCUGUGUCUUUUUAUGCUGUGCCUGCUAAUUGACAGAAACUUCACAGCUAUGAGUGGGAAUGUGACUAGAAGUGGCACAAAGUUAUCUAUCGUCAGGCUGGAUCUAAAGAACUAGCACCCUGCGUAUUCUAGCUCCUGAUUGUUCCCUUCAUAUCUGUCCAAUCAUUAUCUUUCCCAGAAGCAGUGCAAAGAGCAAGACAUUUGAACACACCAAAGGAAGAUCAACAUGCCUGGCACUCUAGAAUUUUAGAAUAGCAGAAUGAAUGUGUCUUUGUUUGCUUAUCUAUUUCUUCCUUGAAUGUCUUUGGUCUUUCUCCUCUAACUAAAGUGUGUCUUACCCAUUUCCAUGAUUCUCUUACUAGUUUCUUCUCUGUAUAUCUUUGUCUCAUUUUCUUUCUUGUACCCAAGAGUGGUCUGUGUCUUGUCUUAGAUGUCUCUCUCUAGUGUUUUCAUUUUGUUACUGAUUCUCCUUGCUCUCCUAGAUCUGGCUCUUCUUUCACUGUUUGUCUCUUUGCGUCUCUUGAGUCACAUGCUGUGUGCCUUUUGCUCACUUCUUGCUAUGCCUACCUCUCUUCUUUUUCUCUUUGUGAACUGUUUGUCACCCCCUCCCCUUGAUGGUUUGACAUUUCACCUUUUCUGAUACUGGCCACCCUUCUGCUGUUUCUACUCUUUAUCUUGCAUUGCUUUUUUCUACAUAUUCUUUCUGCCUCUCUUGGGCCAUUUUCUCUUUUCUUCCUGCUUUGUGUGCCCCAGUGUCUCUUUGUUCUUUGUGAUUUUCCAUGUCAGCAUUCAUCUCUGUGUUCUCUUAUUUCUUCUCUGCUUUUGCCUUUCUACUUACCUUUGAGUAUUUCAGUCUCUUCUUGAGUCUAUGUCUCCCCCACUUUGAUUUCAUGCAGUCCUCUCUCCUUGCAUACUUUUUGUGCAUGUGUGUGUGCAUGCUUUUGUGUGUGUGUGUGUUUGUAACAAAGGGGUCUCCUAACCCCUUCCUAAUAGGUGCAGAGUGUCAGCUAUCAAAAUAUAAGCAUUGAAGAGCUGUUCCUUAUGCCAGGCCGCCUGUGAGAUGAUCCAAGACCAAUAAAAGGCCCAAAGGUCUAGACUGGAGUUGGACGGAAGACUCAAGUCUCAGUGAGACAGAAGGCCAAAGACCCAGGAUGGGAUGAAAAGCCUUCGCUUGAAGACCUAUGACCCAAAAAUGGAAGGGCCCAAGCACACAUAAAGACCCAGAACUCAAGCCUGUCUAUAUAGACAGAAGGCCCAAGAGAGACAGAUAUCUCCAGACUAAAUUAGGCGGGAAGCUGGAGGCCCAUGACCCAGAAUCCAGGAAGGAUAGAAGCCCCAAGACCAAAGGAAAUUCCAAGAUGAGAACCCUAAACCGCAGCUCUUUUCUAUUGUUCUCCUCCCUAGUCUUGGACAUUUUCAGUUCUCCCUUCCCUGUUCUCAUAUCUCCAUUUAAACCCACUUCUUUUGAGAUGUCAUUUUUGAUGUUGCUGCUACUUUAAAGAAACACGCCUUUAGAUCAGUAAUAUUAUGCCUGGGCCAGUCUUAAGCCAGUUUUUAUCGCACUUUUAAGCCAUUUAUUAAGGUUUUGGUGUUUUGCAAAGUUCCAUUUCUCUUCACCUCCUCUCCACUUGAGAGGGACACAUAGGUGACUUUAUAUUUCAGUCCCUGCUUUCCUCAGAAGCUCUAGGCUGAUGAGAGAAGUAAAGCAUCAGGUUACUGAGUGGAAAAUAAGUGCCAGGCUAUCUAGAGAAAAUGUGAAGAGAUGCUCCAGGCCAAUGAGAAGAACUAGACAAGAAAUACACAGAUGUGCCAGCUUGCUGAGAAGCACCAGCCAGCAACAUAUUACUUCUUUGAGCUUGGUUUCUGGCAUCCCAAGACUACCACUACUGCUAAAAAAGAAUAAGAGAACAUGUUAUCAUCUGAUUUUUGUGGCAUAAAUGAAGUUGUGAAAAAAUCUUUUUUUUACAAAGGAAAUGGCUUCAUCUUUAUCCUUCUACCUCAAAGGGAAUCUAUGCCAAAAUGCUCCGAUGAAUGGAAGGCACACUUGGACUUGUGAACUGAAGUGAAACGCAGAAUCUCUGAGCCAUGGUUGUUUUGAAGAUCGAAAAGUCUUGUUCAGCAUGGGUGACCAGCAAAAAAGCAAUCUAGAGCUGUCUGUAUGUCACAACUGAGACAAAUUGGGGAGUUUGUUGUUUAAUGCCAAAUAAAAAUGUACUGUUUUGAAAA